AACCUUAUGGACCUGCGGGCGUAUACCUGCGGAAGGAUCAUUAUCGAGUGUAACCUACCCCGUAAAAAAGGGUGGUACCUCCCGUCCUUUGCAGGCCCUCUUUUUAUGAAGGGGGCUUUUAAGAUUUUCUGCCUCGGCGGGGUUACUCCCGCCGGAACACCCUCAAAAAAAACUCUUGAUCAAAAAACCGUUCAGUCCGAGAACUUUUUGAAAAAUAAAAAAAAACUUUCAACAAUGGAU
rnacentral:misc_RNA from 1 species